CUUGCAUCUCAGAGCAAAACUCAUUUUCAAGAAUUCUAAUUUCUUACCUGAACUUUGGAGUCAUACAUUAUGUGUGUUUCCAACUUUGGUAAUUCUGUGUGAACAUAUGCCUAUGAUUUGGUUAUGUUGUCUUCAUUAGGCAGAACAUCAGAUAAUUGAAACAAGUUCUUAGGUGACUCUAGUGGAAUUUCAAACCAUAUCAUAGUUAACAUAUACAACAGACUUUCUAUGUUUCUUGAUUGCAUUCUUUUAUGUCAUAAAGAAUGUGGCUUAGUCAAAAUUAUCAAAACAUGAAAAAUGAGAAAGCAACUUUGUUCAGUUUUGAUUGUGAAAUUGAAAAGUUAAAAAAAUUCUAACUCAAUAAUAAGUAAAUUGCCAGUUGCGACUAUGAAUUUUGUAGAAAGUUUAAAGCUCAUAUAUUUAUAUUUUCAGAAGUGAAAAUGGGUUGAUGUUUCCAUCUUAGGUUGGUGAUCAUUGCCAUUUCCAUUACAAUAAUGAAAGAGACAAGUUCUGACUGAAGUAAAGGUAAGUUUAAUGUAGAUCAUUUGUCUUUUUUCAUAGCAUGAUGCAAAAAUUCUUUUUUUUUUACAAAUUAUUUUUCCAAUUAUUUAUCGUUCGUAUACAACAGAAACAUCUUAAACUUUAAAUAUAAGAUUAAACGAUUAAAAAAUUGUCAUUCAGUGGAUUUUAAGUUUUCAGAAGAUUUCCUUUAAAAAUUAAAGGUUCAUUGACCCAGAAAUCUAUCUUUUACUGAAAUUUUAAGAAAAAGUGUUAGUUAGACACCCCAGCUAUCUUAAGAGAAUUUUCCUAAAGAAUAUGAAACAAUUUAAAUUGUUUUGUUUCUACCAGAUUGUGAUCCAUCAUGAAGACCGAUUUUUCUGAGGGGCACACAAAUUGCAGUAUGUCAGUCAUACCCGUAGCCAGGGGGGGUUCGAGGGGUUCGGACGAAC
rnacentral:lncRNA from 1 species